GCAGGUGUGGCUCAAUGGUAGAGCAUUUGUUUAGCAUGUAUGAUGCCCUGGGUUCAAUCCCUACCACUGUA
rnacentral:tRNA from 1 species